rnacentral:snoRNA from 1 species
UUGUUUUAUGAUGAGCAUUUUAUUUCAAGUUAUCCCUGUCAGAACUGGUAAUAAUAAAAUAAUGUUGAUAACGUUUGACUCUGAAAAAUCA